UUUCCGUAGGUGAACCUGCGGAAGGAUCAUUAUCAAAAGAUAUUUUCUCCAUAUUUCCCUUGUGUAUAUAUUCCAUGUUGCUUCCACUAGGCUGGCAUACAUAUGAUUGAUUACUAGUAUUCAAUAUGUAUUUAUGCCCUUCAACCAAUUUAAUCCUAAUGGUUGAACAAGUGUCAGUGGAUAGCCUUACCUAUAAGAAAAACCCUUUGUAAAAGCUACUAUAGUCCGAGUUUAUGUUAAAAUAAAUGAAAAAAAACUUUCAACAACGGAUCUCUAGGCUCUU
rnacentral:misc_RNA from 1 species